rnacentral:rRNA from 1 species
AUGCCUCACGAAAAUGAUAAAGAUAUCUGGGCAUGCCUGUUAAAAGUCAUUUUUCAAAAAAGUGAGAUUUUAACUGUGGGGGGAGAUGAUGCUGUGAUUAAGCAAUAUGCCAACCUCUUCAAUUGUGAUAUAGGCAGCUUUCCCAUCAGAUAUCUGGGCAUGCUUGUUAGUUAUACCACCCUCAGAAACUCUGAUCGGGAGUUCAUUGUCUGCAAAUAUCUAAAAAGAUUUGAAGCUUGGGUGGGUAAUGCUGCCUCCAUGGGAGGGAGGCACACUCUAUUAGACUCUGUUGUCACCCAGAUAUCACUGUACCAUAUGUCUAUGUGGCUGAUGAACAAAACAUUCAUUGAAAGAUUGGAUAAGCAUAGAAGAAGAUUCUUCUGGCAAGGGUGUAACAAGAAAAAGAGAUAUUAUGUUGUGAAAUGGAGCAGAAUCUGCAGUCCAAAGAGAAGGGCGGUCUGGGGAUUAAGGAUCCGCACAAACAGAACAUUAGUCUGA